ACAGCAGAGCGAGGAGGCAGCUGAACAUGAAGGAAAGUCGUCGAACAUUACAUCCAGAGACAUGCUUUGGGGGAACCUGAAAUUAAAAAAUGUAUAAUUAAUUGUGCCGCUGCUGAGCAUGUGCUUUUACUUAUUGCUUCCUUACAAGUGACAAGAGGCCACCUUUUUGCCUGUGACGGGGAAACAAGGUCGCCGUGUGCGGAAUUUUAAGUCCGUCGGGUCCUUUUUGGCGUAGGAGAGAGCACCGCUCCUUGGAGAUGGCCACCGGCGCUAGUCCUCUUAUCAGCAAGGUAUCUGAAUCAACGAACGUGGGUACAGUUACACCUCAUCCAGACUCAGUUUUCUGUUUGUUGACGCAGUGCCCCUGGCUCUGAACCUCGUGGUAGGGAUUGCACCACAUAUUGGCGUGCCCACUAGUGGUUUUCAAAGGCUCGCUUAAAGCAGGGGAAUGUGCAGAAGAACAGCACUGAAGGAAAUCCAAAACUGGGAACUACAGGAGUGGUAACUCCACUAUAUGCUUUUCAUGAAGCCUGUGUAAACCCACCUGAGUGAGCUCUGCAGCCUGUGAUUCAGUGCGAGCUUGGGAGCAGCGGCUGGUACUAUCCCCCUGCCCAGAAUGCUCCCUCCUGCCCCACAGAGACCCAGCACCUGGAACCACUAUCAAAGAAGCAUUCGUAUUUUGUCUGAAUUUGCACAUGGCUUAGAGUGGAGCCUUCAGUGGACAUUAGGGAACCCAGGCUUGGAAGGUUACAGACUUGUCCAGUACUUCUUUCUAGGAAGCUCCAACCACCUUCUCCAGGAGGGCAUCUCCUCAGAGAAUUUUGGCAAGGCUGUUUUCCUGAAUGAUCUGUACAUCUUCCCCUCCACUGCAUGUCUUCUCAGAAGGAAGCUAAAGUCAAAGUAUCUGAAGUUUAACAGACUGCUGAAGAUGGCAGAAUAUGCACUUCUGCUGAGCGUAUCACCCCAAGCCUCACACAGCACUGUAGCAGCCAGGGUUGUUGUAACAGAGACUGGGUUAGUAUUUCUGAUCCCGUGAGUGGUGAAAUGUAUUUUUCACUAAAGCAUUGAUACUAGGAACUAAGUAAUUCUUGUGUUUUGCUUUGUCAUGGUUAGUCACGCCAUUUUCACCAUAACUGAAAAAGAGAAAUAGACACUGAGAAAUUAUCACUGAGCACCUGCCUUUGUGGUUUGGAGAGGAUGGGUGGGGGCUGGAUUGCAGAGGAAUGUAUUUUGGGUCUUUGUGACCCUGCCCUCUGGGCAAGAGGAAAAACAUGGGUUGUUCGAGGAUGUGUUUGUCAGUGCCAGUUAGGGAGAGAAAGUUGGAAAAUUAAAUGUAUAUAUGUGUAUCUUUCUAUUUCUGGAAGCCGCCUUUCUCAUCUUAUUACCCUUGCAAUUAUACAUUUUAAUUCUGUAACUUUCCAUUUCAGUACACAAACGACAUUCAAAUACAUUUGUCUCCUGAAUCCUGAUCUUACUAAACCUUGCUGCUGUCUGCUAUACUGAUGUCAUUCGACUUGGAGAAUUUAGCAUAAUAUGUUUUGACCAGUAAAAAGCAAAAUGCACAUAUUCACAAACAUUUCAGAAGUUCAUUGUGGGCCCAAAUGCACUGCUAACUUCAGAUUCAUCAACUAUUGUAGCUUACUGAUGUACAGGAAAAUCUACUGCAAAGAUUUUACCAAGUUUUUUAUUAAAAUUUAU